rnacentral:hammerhead_ribozyme from 1 species
AUCCAGCUGAUGAGUUCCAAAUAGGACGAAGUGAUGCGCGUCCUUGAU